rnacentral:lncRNA from 1 species
GGCCACCGCAGAGCACCAUCCCCUGUCAGCCCAUCCCGAGCACCCAGGAGGCCACUGGCACCCAUCAACCAUGUAGGCUCCACCGCUGGUCACCAUGCACCAGGGCUGCGCGGCUGUCCUCUGUGAGUACACAUCACUGGGAGGUGGGGGGGACACCCCUGGAUGGGAUGGGCAAUGGAUGUCCCCAUGGGGUGAUGCUGCUCCGCAGGUGUCCUGGCCGUGCUGGGGCUGGAGGUGGCUGCGCUGGGGGAAUGUGAGCUCGCCCGCCUGCUGCAGGACAAGCUGCGGUAUGAGAUGCGCCUGCAGUACAUGAAGCACAACUUCCCCAUUGACUACACUCUCCGGGUGCAGCACGAGGAGGUGCUGCGGACCGC